UACGGAGGGAGCUAGCGUUGUUCGGAAUUACUGGGCGUAAAGGGCGCGUAGGCGGUGGUGUAAGUCAGAUGUGAAAACCAUCGGCUUAACCGAUUGGAUUGCAUUUGAUACUGCAUCACUUGAGUUCAGUAGAGGAGAGUGGAAUUCCCAGUGUAGCGGUGGAAUGCGUAGAUAUUGGGAAGAACACCAGUGGCGAAGGCGGCUCUCUGGACUGACACUGACGCUGAGGCGCGAAAGCUAGGGGAGCGAACAGGAUUAGAUACCCUGGUAGUCCUAGCCGUAAACGAUGGGUGCUAGGUGUUGGGGGUUUCCAUGCCCUCAGUGCCGAAGCUAACGCAUUGAGCACCCCGCCUGGGGAGUACGGCCGCAAGGUUGAA
rnacentral:rRNA from 1 species